CCUACGGGGUGCAGCAGUGAGGAAUAUUGGUCAAUGGGCGGGAGCCUGAACCAGCCAAGUCGCGUGAGGGAAGACGGUCCUAUGGAUUGUAAACCUCUUUAGGCGGGGAGCAAUGCCGGGCACGCGUGCCCGGAGGGAGAGUACCCGCAGACUAAGCAUCGGCUAACUCCGUGCCAGCAGCCGCGGUAAUACGGAGGAUGCGAGCGUUAUCCGGAUUUAUUGGGUUUAAAGGGUGCGUAGGCGGAUUUUUAAGUCAGCGGUAAAAUGUCCGGGCUCAACCCGGGCCGGCCGUUGAAACUGGGGAGCUUGAGUGGGCGAGAAGUAUGCGGAAUGCGUGGUGUAGCGGUGAAAUGCAUAGAUAUCACGCAGAACUCCGAUUGCGAAGGCAGCAUACCGGCGCCCGACUGACGCUGAGGCACGAAAGCGUGGGGAUCGAACAGGAUUAGAUACCCCAGUAGUC
rnacentral:rRNA from 1 species